CAGUCGUACGCUUCUUUUUCCCCGGAGCUUGCUCCACCGGAAAAAGAAGAGUGGCGAACGGGUGAGUAACACGUGGGUAACCUGCCCAUCAGAAGGGGAUAACACUUGGAAACAGGUGCUAAUACCGUAUAACAAUCGAAACCGCAUGGUUUUGAUUUGAAAGGCGCUUUCGGGUGUCGCUGAUGGAUGGACCCGCGGUGCAUUAGCUAGUUGGUGAGGUAACGGCUCACCAAGGCUACGAUGCAUAGCCGACCUGAGAGGGUGAUCGGCCACAUUGGGACUGAGACACGGCCCAAACUCCUACGGGAGGCAGCAGUAGGGAAUCUUCGGCAAUGGACGAAAGUCUGACCGAGCAACGCCGCGUGAGUGAAGAAGGUUUUCGGAUCGUAAAACUCUGUUGUUAGAGAAGAACAAGGAUGAGAGUAACUGUUCAUCCCUUGACGGUAUCUAACCAGAAAGCCACGGCUAACUACGUGCCAGCAGCCGCGGUAAUACGUAGGUGGCAAGCGUUGUCCGGAUUUAUUGGGCGUAAAGCGAGCGCAGGCGGUUUCUUAAGUCUGAUGUGAAAGCCCCCGGCUCAACCGGGGAGGGUCAUUGGAAACUGGGAGACUUGAGUGCAGAAGAGGAGAGUGGAAUUCCAUGUGUAGCGGUGAAAUGCGUAGAUAUAUGGAGGAACACCAGUGGCGAAGGCGGCUCUCUGGUCUGUAACUGACGCUGAGGCUCGAAAGCGUGGGGAGCAAACAGGAUUAGAUACCCUGGUAGUCCACGCCGUAAACGAUGAGUGCUAAGUGUUGGAGGGUUUCCGCCCUUCAGUGCUGCAGCUAACGCAUUAAGCACUCCGCCUGGGGAGUACGACCGCAAGGUUGAAACUCAAAGGAAUUGACGGGGGCCCGCACAAGCGGUGGAGCAUGUGGUUUAAUUCGAAGCAACGCGAAGAACCUUACCAGGUCUUGACAUCCUUUGACCACUCUAGAGAUAGAGCUUCCCCUUCGGGGGCAAAGUGACAGGUGGUGCAUGGUUGUCGUCAGCUCGUGUCGUGAGAUGUUGGGUUAAGUCCCGCAACGAGCGCAACCCUUAUUGUUAGUUGCCAUCAUUCAGUUGGGCACUCUAGCAAGACUGCCGGUGACAAACCGGAGGAAGGUGGGGAUGACGUCAAAUCAUCAUGCCCCUUAUGACCUGGGCUACACACGUGCUACAAUGGGAAGUACAACGAGUCGCGAAGUCGCGAGGCUAAGCUAAUCUCUUAAAGCUUCUCUCAGUUCGGAUUGUAGGCUGCAACUCGCCUACAUGAAGCCGGAAUCGCUAGUAAUCGCGGAUCAGCACGCCGCGGUGAAUACGUUCCCGGGCCUUGUACACACCGCCCGUCACACCACGAGAGUUUGUAACACCCGAAGUCGGUGAGGUAACCUUUGG
rnacentral:rRNA from 1 species